rnacentral:lncRNA from 1 species
CUUCUUUUCUUAGGGCUGCACCGGUGACAUAUGGAGCUUCCCAGGCCAGGGGUCUAAUCGAGCUGUAGCUGCUGACCUACACCAAAGCUACAGCAAUGCCAAAUACAAGCUGCAUCUGUGAUCUACACCACAGCUCACGGCAAUGCCGGAUCCUUGACCCGCUGAGCAAGGCCUGGGAUGGAAGCCACAACCUCAUUGUUCCCAGUCGGAUUCCUUUCUGCUGCACCACGACGGGAACUCAUCAGGGCAUUUUUUGAGUACUGUUUAAAAAGCCUCCACAAAACUAUAUUUUUGACAUAAAAUUUAAACUUAGGCAAAUUAUUCCAUACCUCUUUAAAACAUGGCAUGUAAGUUUGGAGUUCUUUUUCUCUCAGUGUAGUGAUUCUUUUUUUCCAAUUUGGUUCAUAGAUCCUCUUGAGAAUGUAGUGAAAGUUAAGGGUCCUCUUAAGAGAAAAAUGCACCCACCCAUGGAACAGAACACAAUCUCACUGUGGUCCUAGGCUCCCUUGUCCCCUCAAGUCUCUCCAUGCAACCCCAGAUUGAAAACCCCUUAGUAAGCCAAAGAUAUAUUUAUUGCAGAAGACUCAAAUUUGAAUUUGAAAUUCAUGAAUUCCAAGUGGUUAUGGAGCUUUAUAAAUCAUCCUUUACCAUUGCCAAUAUCACAAAGGGAAAACUUUGAAUCGAUUCGAUUUCACAGGCCAUGUGUGAAUAUUGAUUUCAGUCCUGCCACAUAGCCUUCUGCAUGCUGAGUGAAGAGACUAUUCUGCCCUCAUUUCAAGGUGAGGCUCUUCUACUCCAGCAAUAAAUACUGAAAACAAGGCACAUAAGAUCCAACUGUCUCAAAUGCCAUCCCAGGCAGCUCCUUUAAGUGUCUAAAAGAUAAGUUAAAUAACAUUGAUACUUCUGCAUGUGGUUAUGUGUCCCUUCUUGCCACAGAAUUGAAACUAGAAACUACUUGAAGUUUCCAAAUCUAUGUCAAAAGCCAGAUGAUUAUGAAAGCCCACAAUGUUUGAGUCUUUAAGGGCAAAAAUCUUUAAUGUUUAGAUCCAAGUCAUAGUUUAUUUUAUGAAAGUGUAAAAUACAUUAAAAGUCUUGAACUAUUUUAAAAAAUGGAAUAUUUUUUUUCUGUUUGUAAUGUAUCAGCCUUGCAUCAGAUGUUUAUUUCAUUAACAUAUUUAUGGAACAUCUCCCUUAAACUGGUUUGUGUUCAUAUUGCCUAUGGCAGAUUAACUCAAUAUAAUGCUUAUUCUUUUAGUUACAUUUUUAGUUAUUCUUGUAUUGCAGACAUCAUUACAUAAUCCACCCAGAAUGUGCUUUAAAAUAUCUACAAAUCUAUUUAAAAAUAAGAAAAUGAUUUAAGAUGUUAUUAUGUCAGGUGGUUUGACUAAUUUUCAAUGAAGCAUAUUAUUCCUCUUCAAAGGUGUAUUGUUUUAGGGAUGUUAUAUUUCAAAACAUGUUAAAAAAUUAAUAGUUUAGUUAGAUUUUCUGUGAGAUUUUAAAGUUCUGAUUCUUGGUGUAUAAAAAUAAAAUGAGAAAACUGUCUUUCACAUUACCCUCUAUGGUAAUUACUAAGAAACAUUUCCAGGGAUGGAUGUAUAAUUUUUAAAAAGUUAUAUUGAAAAAGAAAACCCUGUAAAAACUCAAAAAUAGUUAUCAAUUUGACAUGGGUGUAGCAUUUAAAGUCCCAGAUUUUAGUAAUCCAAAGUUGUGUGUUCAAAAACAUUCCUUCAAGUAACAGAGACAAACUAUUCAAAUUUUACUUUUGAUAAGUAUCUGUUUGAGGUUUUUAAACUCAAAAAUUCAAAAUUAAAUUAUAUGGCACCAGAGGUAUAUAUACUAUUUAUUUCCAAAAAUGAAACAAAAGGAAAGUGUUUUUAAUGCUUAUCUUCUACUUCAGAAAUAUAAACUUCAAAUAUUACUACUUGAAACUUCAGAUAAUUGGUCUGCACACACUAUUUUCUUUAGACGAGACAUCUUUGCUUUGAAAAAAAAAAAAAAACACAGUUCACUGAAAGCAUACCAUAUGUCAAUAAACAGCUAAAUACAUUACACAUAUAGUUUAAUUUAAUCCUCAGAACAACACCAUGUGGGAAAUGAUGUUGCCAUUUUAAAGAUGAAGAAGGUGAGGAUUAUAGAAGCUAGUACUUCCUAAGACUGGUGAAGCUGCAUCCUCUUAACUCCAAAUUCCGACCUCUUCCCCAUAUCCAUUAUAAACAACGUGGUAUUAAAUGUCUUUUCUAAUGCCACAACUUGUGAAAUGUUACAAAAAUAUUAAAAAAUUGAUAUUUUACUAUAUAAAGGCAUCCUACCACUGUGGUGACAAGUAGGGCUAUGGAGCAAGACUGUCUGGGGUUAGAUUCCUGACCAUAGACUCAGUGGUUUAAAUUCACCACUCAGGUCUUCAGUUCCUACAUCUGCAAAAUCAGCAUCAUCAACUAAUGCUAAUUUCACAGACUCAUGAUGGAAAUAAAAUGAAAUUCAUUCAACAAUAUGUGGAAAUUACUAAAAAGGGCCCUAAUAGAAAUCAUAUUUUUCUUGUCUUUUUGGGGCCUUACCCAUAGCACAUGGAGGUUCCCCAGGCUAGGGGUUCAAUCAGAGCUGUCUGCUGGCCUACACCACAGCCAUAGCAAUGCAGGAUCCAAGCCGUAUCUGAGACCUACACUACAGCUCACAGCAACACUGGAUCCUUAACCCGCUGAACGAACCCAGGGAGUGAACCCAUGUCCUCAAGGAUACUAGUCGGGUUCGUUAACCACUGAGCCAUGACGGGAACUCCCAGAAAUCAUAUUUUAUGUUUUUUCAUCUCUGCUUAAUGCACCUGAUCCUUGUUAUAGAAACUAAAUACACAGGUUGCCUUCUAUCACCCUCCAAGACAACCAACUCUAUAUAUUUUCUGGGCAUGAGCACUUAAUAUUGAAAAAUAUUCCAUUCUAUGAAAACCCAGCCAAAGUCUAACAUAGCAA